GCAUGGGUGGCUCAGUCGGUUGAGCGUUUGACUUCAGAUCAGGUCACGAUCUCGCAGUUUGUGGGUUCAAGCCCUGCAUCAGGCU
rfam:Felis catus isolate Cinnamon breed Abyssinian chromosome B1, whole genome shotgun sequence.